GGGCCAUUAGCUCAGUUGGUAGAGCAACAGACUCUUAAUCUGUGGGUCGCAGGUUCGAAGCCUGCAUGGCUCAGGG
rnacentral:tRNA from 1 species